rnacentral:rRNA from 1 species
GGCUUUCUGGCCCAAUACUGACGCUGAGACGCGAAAGCGUGGGGAGCAAACAGGAUUAGAUACCCUGGUAGUCCACGCUGUAAACGAUGUUCACUAGGUG